UACAGGUAGCACGAGUGGUGUCCACGAAUAUUGCGCCUAAAGCGCCCGUAGCCGGUUCAGUAAAUCUUCUGUGAAAUUUACCAACUUAAUUGGUAAGCUUGCAGGAGAAACUGCUGGGCUAGGGAGUGGAGGAGGUGUGAGGUACUGUAGGGGGAAUGGUAAAAUGUUGUAAUCCUUACAGGACCACCAGUGGCGAAAGCGUCACACCAAGACACGUCCGACGGUGAGGGGCGAAGGCUAGGGGAGCAAACCGG
rnacentral:rRNA from 1 species